UCGCGGGGUGACACGGACAACGCGGCACUGCGAGGCCGUCAGCCUUUGGGUGCCUUUUGUAAAAGCCUUGUGGAAAUGUAGUCUUAACUUCUAUCUCUUUGGAAACCCCCCUUCUUCUGCAGGAAUCAAGCGCAAUACGAAAACAUACCGUGUACGCUGACCCGAGGUAUUGAUGUUCGCAAGGGUCUGAACGUACAAAGUGAGAGACCUGUGUGGGUUUUUUUUUUAAGGAGAAAACACGUGGUAUUUAUUCUUGCGGUUGAGAAGCACUAAUUUUUGUGUGGCACAGUCUCCAGGUGGGACUCUUGACUUCCAGUCAGCACUUGGCGUAUUGAAAAAAUGGAAGAGGGGGGGAGAAAUAAUAAUGGUAAUAAUUGCACUGGAAACUGAAAUGCACUCAUUUUUUCCAAUAAAAGAGCAACAUUUGUGCUUCACAGUGGCUUUACAUACCCAACACUCCAAGGAUGUUGCAGAGGAUUGUAUAUGGAUGUUAUUCCAUAUGUUCUCCGUUCUUUUCCGUUCCGGUGUGGUUAAUUUUGGCAUUUUCCCAUUGCUUGCCUGCUCUCCUUUCAUUUUUCACUCCAUUUUUCUUCAGGGCAGAAUUAUGUUAAAUAACUGUGAAGCAAUAUUUCUUCUGUCUGAUAAAAUGGUGGCAUAAAGUACAAACUGAUUUUAGAAAAUUAAAUUGUAUCCAUGUUUCUGAGAAGUCAUUUUAAAUUAGCCCAUACAUUUUUUUGUUAAGAUGAGAGAAAAGUGUUCUAAAUGCCCCAGUGUCUUCCUGUUGUAAGCAAGAGUGGGUUUGUCACAACAUUAAUAAUAAUAAUAAUAAUAAAGAGUAACAGGGUAAAUAUAUUCUGCAAUUAAUGCCUUCUACAUCACUUUUUCAUGUUAAGUGCUAAGAAAGCAGAGCCGACUGCCCAUCAAGUCAGGUGCGUGUCAGGUGUCACAGUUCUGGACACUGGCAAGUGAAGGCACACAAGUUUUGUUAGUCAAGUUUGAAAAGGCUGAGCUAAUUUUUAGGCAGAGUUUUCUCCUUUGUAGAUUGAGAAGUGAUUUGCAGUUGGAAGUAAGCAGUGUCUUUUCAGUAUGCAUGAACAGUUACCAACAAGAGUAAGAAGUGUAAGCCAGACAGCUAAAACUUAAAUAGUAUAGUUUUUUUACUUUUCAGUAUUAGUUCCUUAUUUCUUGCAUUCUUUUACUUCUAUUAAUAACAGUACACUAUGGAGCCUCUUAUACCUCUUCAUUGCUAAAAUCCUGCCAAAGCAGGUAAUUACUGAGCAAUAUAAGUGAUGUAGAUGCUUGAUGAUAUACCUGAAGUCCAUUUUAAAGGAUGCUCCAAUUUCUUGUUAACAGGACUCGUUACAUUUCAUGCCUUUAUUGGCCAUUUCAGAAAAGAGGUCAUGAUAGGGACACCUUGCAUGUAAUGUAGUUGUUUACAGCUGUAUGAAAUGGAUAUACAGCGCUACUAAUUAGAACAAUCGUGUUUCAUGUCCACUUUGUGCAGUUACAAAUGGCUUAAUGAGUUGCAAGGCAGCACCUAUUAGGCCUGUAGAAGCAGAAGUAUUUUAUCACCCUUUAAGAGAGAUGAGUAAGAUAAGGUACACUGAUAUGGUAAAAAAAUAAAAUGCUUGAGUUUCCACUGCCUUUGAUUUAUUGUGUCCAUAGUGAAAGAGAGGAAUGUAUUUUCUUGGGCUAUCAAUCCAAGAUGUGCAAACACUGAGGUCAUGAGAGGUAGAGAGAGAGGAUAGUAAAUAUUUCUGAAUUUCCCUUUCUCUGUAUAUGAUUUUAAGCAAAUUAAUCCCUUUGCAUGCCUACUUGGAGAUAUUUCUGGCUUUAGUCAGUCACUACUACUGAGAGUUAUAAGUUGCAAGCCGGAGUCUGUGAGGAAUUUUUUGAGUAAUGAGUGCUGAAAUUUUUAAAAUUGCUUGCUGAUUGUUUUAUAACUGGACACAAGUUGCAUUUCUAGAUUUUUCUGCAGAAGCUUGUAUCAUCAGAUAUCCCUUUCCCAUCAGUUCUGUGUAACUGGUAUUGAUGAUGCCCAGACCCAACCGUGUGGACUAUUCACAGGUACUCCUGUGCUUCUAAGUUGUGUGUUCGUGGCAUUUGUUUGAGUUUGUUUGGGUUUGCCUGUUUUGUGCUGAACUGAUGGCAGAGUAUCCCUCCCAGCCACGUGCCCCUGUGGCACAACAUAAAAAACAUAGGUAGUCACGUGUCUAUGCUCUGUCAAAAGUGUGCGGGGAAAAAAUUAGUUUUGUUUUUUGUUGUUUCAUAAUAACAGGAAAAAUAGUGUUGAUAUAAAUAAUACUAAUCAGAAUUUGUUCUGUUCUCUUUCUUUGCAGCCUGCCAUGGAGCUCGGUUACACUGGGGGGCCCUGAGUUUGGUCCUUGAUUAACAUUUUCUCUCUUUCUCCUGCCCGGGGUGGAUGCUACUUGCUGCCCGUGGAACUGAGCUGGCCACUGAGCCGGCAACUGAGCUUUUCUGAGCUGAGGUGGGCGCGUGCUUCCAUGGAUGUUUUAAAUGUAUUCAAAUAAUAAAAAGGAAGCUCGGACUAGCCAGCCACAGCCUGAGCCUGCAGGCCCUGAAUCCCUUUGAGCUGCUACCCUGGCUGACUACAAGUGACAGUUGUCAUGUGAGCAGGGAAGGAAGGCCAUGAGGCAACUCCGGGAGCAUAUGCUUUAUCUGCAUUAAGCUUUGCACACAGAUUGGGGAAGAAAGGGUGAGGCAGAUGCAGCCUUAUGGAGCCUGUCCCACCUCUGCUGCUUUUUACUGUGGCUUGUGCCCACCCACAGUCCAUGGAAUAGCGUGGCAUCCUCCAGGUUAAAAAACGCUGGAGAAGGACAGUGCAUUAGUGGGCCUAUUUUCCUCCUCAAUGCACUUAUAUAACAUGGUAACAUUAAUAGCAAUUUAUGUGCAAGCACUGAAGGAAGGAGGCAUUUCAUUUGAACUGAAGCUGCAGAAUAUCCACUUUGGAUUGGGAACAGAGCCACAGGAUCAGUGCAGGACAGCCACUCUUCAAGAACCACACUUUUUGGGAGUUAUUAUUCCCACCUCAGCCUCUUUUAGGAACACUUCCAGUUUCUUGAGAACUCAACAGGAGUUUGUAGAAGUCAAGGAAAGGACCAACUUGUUUUCUUGGUUUCUUUGUAGGAGGGUGCAGUUAAACUCUGUCUGGAUUUCUUUGCUCCUAUACCUUACUCUUAUUAGUUCACAACAUUGAAGUAAUUAGGAUAUUUUCUUCAUAGUUUUGAGAUGAUACUUCUGAAUGUUCUCUUUCUAUACUUGCGCAUCUAAUUCCCACUGUCUCUUAUAAAACACUUUUUCUUAUUUUUUGUUACUGUCUUUACUAACGGAGCAUUAGACACUAAGACCCUCUGCCAGAACCAGCCACUAAGAGCAUUAGAUCCUACAACCAACCUCUGGGCUAAGUUGCUAGCAGUUUCAUUUGACAAGUUAGACAAGAGAGUAGGAAAGGAGACAAGUGAAAUGACUUGCCAGUAGUCUUACAGUAUGGAAGCAGCAAAGUCAGGAGUGAGGUCUGGGCUUCUAAUUUGCAGUACGUUGCUUUGUAUGUUUCUUUCUCUGUUGCUCUGAGAUUUCUCUUUCAUAGUGCCUUCCUUUUCCAGACAACUAUUACUACACCUCAAGGAGCUGUUUGCCAUUUUUCCCGUUUCAGAAGAAUUGAGUAAUAGGUUAGCCAGAGCAUCCAGAUCCAUUUGAGUCUAUUACCUGUGUGAAAAUUGCUUCUGAUUCCUCAAGACAUUUAGGGUGACUUGUUGCUUCCACUCCAAUUUUCCUGCACAUAUGAAACCUUACUGAAAAGUACUAGAAUUCCUUACAUCCCAACCUAGGUCCCAGUCAAAGGGAAGUUUAUGUACUCAUCUACUGACCUGGAGGGAACUGUUGAUGCAGGCACUUGUGCUCAUCAGCUUGGAAUCCACAUAACGUUGAAUUUCAUAACAAAAGGCAGCCCUGAUUAUUUUGAAUUUGAGUAGACAGAAGAGAGCAAGAAAUAGGUCUUGAUACUCCUCGAAAGCAACUCAGAAGCUUCCACACGAAGCAUGCUUGAAGAUCUGCAGCUGACACAUACAAAAAAGACUUUAAAAACAACUCCACAACCAUGGUGAGAUCCAACAGGAUUAAACAAGGUAGUCUGUAGUUACACCUCUCCUUAAAAGCUAUCAACAUGCACGUUUCCAGAGUUUACCUUGAGAGCUGCUUGUGAAGAAAAUGCUUGCACUUGUUAUGAAUAGGAUUUAGCCAAGUUACAGAGGUGAGUUUAUGCAAUUGUCUGUAUGAUCGGAAUCAAAGACCCUGAAUUUGAAAAACCUUAACCUAAGUACUUACUUUGCAGGCAAAAACCUGUCCUAUUGAAAAAAUACACCUCUGUGAAAAUUGAAUGGUGUUCAUCAGCUUCUGCAAGAUGGGUCUGAGUUUGUAAGGAUGUGCUGGGAAAUCUGUGUAGUACCGCCUCAGUUUACUUCAAUAAGAAAGCAUGCUAAAAAGCCUAUCUGUGUUGCUGUGGAAUUGCAUGGUGAUCUGUAUUAAAAAUAACAUUGUCUUGCGAAAAAUUUCUGGUUGUUUUAGCAGAUUUUGUUCUUUGACAGAAAGUGUAUUGAUCUGAUCCUGGGAAAGUGACUGUAGUGCUCAACAGAACGGUUCCUGCUGUAUAAUUUUGAUAUUCAUAAGGUUGUGUAAUAUUUCAUAUGAAAAGCCUCUGUCAACUUCAACUGACUGUUGAAUCUUAAAAUGAU